GACAGGGUGGUGCUUAGGAAAAUUAUUCAGGGCAUUUCCACAUUAAAGUUGGUCCAAGCCUACAUCUGUGGUGGUACCCAAACUGGUCUUCAUCAGAUAGCAAGAAGGCAAGCAUUUACAAGAUACUGUCUGUGAAACAGCAUCAGUGAGAAAAUCCAAAAUUACAGAUCUUCAAAUACAAGCACAAGUAAUGAGAAUACAACAGCAACAAAACAACAACAAAAGGCCUCUGAACUCAGCUGAAAAAGGAGGCUGCUGCGUCCCCAUCAACAAGAUGGUGUGGAUCAGCUUGCCUUUCUGUGAGACAGCUGCUCGCAGCUUCUGCUAAGCUGUGCGCUCAGUAUGGGAUGUGGAAGAGAGGAGAUACGGCUGCUGGGACUGGAGUCUGGGAACAGGGAAUAUUGCAGUUCAUAUUAUGGUGGGGAGGGAGAUAAGGAAGAAAAAUGCAACUAAACAACUGAUUUGUGACUCACUGACGCUGUGUAUUUUAUUUGCCUUGUUCCUGGCCUGUGCAAGUUUGAUUAUCUGUCUUCUGGUCUUCUUCCAUAUACUCCCACUGCUGUCUAAGCUUUCCCAUAUGUCAGAAUGACCCAGAUGUUUCUCCUCCACUGCCUGCCUUCCAAUUUAACUGAGCUACUCUUCUGAUUAACAGGCAAGAGGUCCAUGAACAGUGUGCGUUUUCAGUAACAAAUUCUGCAGCUCAUGGAAAACUAAAAGCUGAACACAGGACAUUGAUACAAAUAUUUUUAACAUUCAGGUAGUAGAAGAGUUUGGUUUGUGUCUACUUUUU